rnacentral:rRNA from 1 species
GACGAACCGAGCAAACGUUAUUCGGAUUCACUGGGUUUAAAGGGUGCGUAGGUGGGUUGGUAAGUCAGUGGUGAAAUCUCCGAGCUUAACUUGGAAACUGCCGUUGAUACUAUCAAUCUUGAAUAUCGCGUAGGUAAGCGGAAUAUGUCAUGUAGCGGUGAAAUGCUUAGAUAUGACAUAGAACACCAAUUGCGAAGGCAGCUUACUUCACGAUCAUUGACACUGAGGCACGAAAGCGUGGGGAGCAAACAGG